GCGGCCACGUUGCUCGGCGCCCUGUCGAAGGUUGCUGGGCAAGCGACACGUCUGCGGGGAGCUGUGGAGCGGAGGUGGUGCUGCUGCUGCUGUCCGCUUGUCACUGAGACUCUGGAAAGAAGACUGAACUCAGUGAAAAGCACGAGAGCACGAAAUUACAAACAGUAAUUGAACUCUGACACAAACCACUCUCAUGGCUGAAGUUUAUUUUCUAUUGAUUUUGAAGCUUGAGAAACAUCUCUUAUCACACAAACAGGCAACGGUCAAGACAGAUUAGGAGGUACUCUGAGUAUGGAGGGGCCAGAUGAGGAGACUGAGCAAAGCCAUUGCUACAGAUAACAAAGCAGUGUGUCUCAUUCCUAGUGACAUUGCUUUGGAGAAACACCAAAUCCUACGAAUUGCUGCAGGUACAACAGGAACAAGAGUUAAGAAACUCUGACAACUUAAUGGCAUGAGAAAAAAAGAAGAAAGAAGGUGCUUGUUAGAAGGUAUGGAUGCUUCCCAGAAGUGCAAGUCAGCUCAAAACAACUUACAGCAAAAAUUUACAGGACCCAGACCUUGCCAGAAUCCUCAUUUUCGGUUUGUCAAGUAAAGGUGUAUAAUGGAGCAUGCUACAAAAUUGCUUAAACUGUCAUAUGAAAAUAAAUGUUGUCUUGCCUUCCAAAUGCAUGUUCUACUUCAGCAGUGGCUAAGAACAUAGCUGUUUUUUCUGUGCAGGCCUCAUGUUUUCUGGUACUUGCUUCUAAAAUAAAAUCAAGUAAUAGAGGUUUUCCAAAGUAUGCUAACAACUUAUAAGCCAACACAAGCAAUGCCACUGGUUCUGAAUAAAGUUCCAGUUUGUCUAGUAUCUUGUCAGUGCCUGCCACUGUUUCUGUUGUAGUGUUUCUGAUUUAGGCGUGACCAAAUUCCUGAAGACGUUCAGAAUUAGAGUUAUAUUUC